AGUUUAACUUUAAUAUUUUGUUAGGAAGCGUUCUGUCAUGCUUCCUAGCCUUCCGCAUAUUGGAGCAACAUCUCAAUAAUAAAUGUUGUAAGUGGUCAGAUUGAUAGAAAGAAGACAGUUACUGUGUUGAAGUAAUAGUAUAAGUUGGUUGACAAUUAUUUUCAGGAAAAGGUGUAGCUGCACAGGUGUGCAGAGGCACUGCUACACAGCAGCUUGUUGAAUAUUCAAGAGUGACCCUUGGUUUUUUUCAUAGUUUCCUCAGUCGGGUUGUAUCUGUAUUUAAAACAGAUUUGAGUUAUCAGUCCUGUUUAUCUCUAGAUCAGUUUCUAGCUCAUUUGCUAGAACACAUACAGUUAUAACUCUCCUCAGCCCAAGUGACAUGGCCAGUGGACAAGGGCAAUGGGAACUGUAAUACAGAUCACCAGGAAAACAAUACUUUGGCUGUCCCUACCCUAAACCUUUUCAGGAAAGAGCAGGGUAAAAAUGUAACACAUCAAUUGUUGUUGGAUUAAAUUCUUAACGUGCUUAAACUUUUAAUUUUCAGAAACCACAGAACCCAAAUUUGGCUCAGAUAAUAAAAGUUUGUCAACAGUUAAUUAAAAGCAUGGAUAAGAAAAGUAGCAUUAUCAGAACUGAACCUAAAACCAGUUUACAACAGAAUAAAUCAGACUGUCAAGCUGAAGAUGUCAGUGACUCCCUUCUCAAGCCUUUGUUCCGAGUCCAGUCCUUCCCUCAUGCCGUCCAUCGCUCACCUGGCUCCUUUCCAAAGUGCUCCCAGAGGACUUCUCACUUGGUCUUUAAACAGAUCUUCAACAUAAUGAGCUAAAAGGCAUCAAAGCGUUUGAAAAAUGUAAGAGCAAGGUACGUAGGUGAAAACUUUAAUUUGUAUAUUAUAUGGCUGAAAUAAACCCUAACAUUACUCAGUGUUUCA
rnacentral:lncRNA from 1 species